GUAUAAAUAUAAUCGAAAAUUGUCCAUGCAAUCAUAUCUUUGGUGUUCCAUCGUUGAAGACACACAUCUGAAGAUCAAAUAUUACCAACCAUGCAAUCAACAGUGAUUGUCGCCCUUUGUCUGAUUGCCUUGACUACAUGUGAUGCCUUCAUGGGUUUCCGCCGUCCCAUGUUGCAUCGCGGGAUUGGGCGUCGUGGCAUGGGUAGAUUCCGCGGUGGCGGCGGUGGCUACGGCGGUGGCUACGACGGUUAUGACGGAUAUGACGGCUACGACAACGGAUACGGCCGAAUGGGAGGCCGAGGACGAUAUGGUGGCUAUGACAACGAUAAUUAUGGAGACUACGGCCGUGACUCCCCUGAUUUCGGCGACUACGGACGAGGAAGACGAGGGGGUUAUUACUGAGCAGCGCUGAUGGCUCGGAAACUUUUUCCCCGGCUGUUUGUUGGACGUUUGCAGCUGACAUGCCACUAGAAGAUGCCAGCAUCCCUGAAAGGCAACCCUGUCCGCUGUCCCACAAGCAAUAACACAUCCACUUUACCUGGUCAUGUAUUGAUGACACAUCACAUAUUUUUCCAUGUUUUUUUCUUUUAUUUC
rnacentral:lncRNA from 1 species